rnacentral:rRNA from 1 species
UACGAGAGGCCCAAACGUUAUUCGGAUUUACUGGGCUUAAAGAGUCCGUAGGCGGCUUGGAAAGUGGGGUGUGAAAGCCCUCGGCCUAACCGAGGAAUUGCGCUCCAAACUACCGAGCUUGAGGAAGCUAGAGGUGAGCAGAACUGAUGGUGGAGCGGUGAAAUGCGUUGAUAUCAUCAGGAAUACCGGAGGCGAAGGCGGCUCACUGGGACUUUUCUGACGCUGAGGGACGAAAGCUAGGGGAGCAAACGGG